rnacentral:lncRNA from 1 species
CCAUCUAGGUAGUUGUUAUUGUAGUUUGGUUUUAGCUUAUCAUUAUUAAUAUAAAAGCCGUUAUUAAAAGUGGAAAUUGGUAAACAUCCCACGUUUUCCCUCUUGGGGUAAAUUCUGGCAAGGCUAUUCAAGAUUCAUCGGCGUUUAUGUUCGUUGUUUGAUUAACCAGCAGAGGGAACAUUGAGGCAAUAUCGACUACUGCGCUUACUUUUUUCGCUGAGCUGUUAAGUCUUUUUUUUAUUAUGUUUUUUUGUUUUCUGAAAUCUUGAAAGACACAUAUCUCGAAUCUGAAUCCUGAUUAUCAUAAUAUUUCACAUAUCUGAAGUAUUUUGGUUUCGUAACGUCAUACUACUUAAAUUGAUCGCAUGUUCGCAGCAUUCGUCAUUUCGUCUGCUGUGGUGUGGUUUGGUCUGAUCUGGUCUGUUAGUAUGGUUUCUUCCAACAACAAUUGGGAAGAGUGAGUGAUUCACGCUGAGUUGAUAAUAGAAGGCAAAUAAUCAUUUAAAAAAUAAACAUUUGUGUCUAGGUAAUGUAGCAAGAAAGUAAAAAGUGAUAAAAUUGCAGUUUGAAUCUGGUUCAGACAUGGACACACGAAGAUCCUAAAGUUUAAAUUUAACUAGGUAAUAAGAAAGAGCUUGUGGAAUACAGGCUAAAGAUGAAAUACAAGAUUGGUGUUCCAAACCAAUCAGCAGUAUAUAAUGUGAUUCAAGAAAAUUGAUCGUUACAUCAUCCAAACCAACCAAAGAUUUAUUGUUAAACCAGAAAAAGAAGAUUUCAUUCACAUUCAGUGACAAUAGUUGAAGAUGAGUUGUCCCGCCAAGAUCAAAUUGAUACAGAACUUGACACUUGUAACUUCAAGCAACUGUUGAACUUGGGUAGCCAAGUUUGAAAAGGAUUUCAAAGGAUUUGAAUAAAGAAAAUUCAAGACAUUUGAGAAAGAGCAGAGCCACGCAAAUCCAAUGGGUAAAUAAUGGACUAGAGAUCUCAUUCAUUGGCGCCUUCCGCGAGUUAUUGGUCUCGCUCUACGACGAUAUAAGAAAAUGCCGCCUAUGUAAGGCGUUGAUAAAGCUGCAAUCAUCCCCUGAUUGCUGAAGAACAAGAGAUCCAGGCCUUCUAUUUAAUGGCAUCACGCAUCACCCCAUUGAUGUCACGUAACACGAGUCUAACACAAAUUGCUGGAUUAGAUUGCCGACUACGUAAACGGACCUCAGGCGAGAGACGAUUUCAAAAAUGGUUUAUCCCGACUGCUAAUUCAGAUGAAUCUGGAUUAAGAAUUUGAUAACAAAGCUGGACCGUCAAAAGCCUUCCAUUAAUCCCUGCUGAAAAAUGAAACUUUCUUCUGGGCCUACGCUAUAGAAGAGUCUGUAAAGAGAUGGACUGUCCGUACAACGAGAACUCGCCCGAAAAAAAACUGGCCGACUUUGAUUAGUCUCUAUACGCUCACGUGUCCGCUGAAGAAGUCGAAAGUUUUAUCUGUGAUCACGAGAUCGGCAGGCAGUGCUACUGGAGAAGAUUUUGCACUUGACUUCAUCCCCGAAUUUGUUUUCAUAGAAGACUUGGAAUCGGGGAAUUCUGUGGUGGUCCUUGAGCGAAAAUCGAUAGUUUUGGCAGCCAUCGUCUCUUCCGCCCCAAUUACAGGAACUCAUCCUUGCCGAUUUGUUUGAAUUACAUGAGAAAAACAGAAGUUUGGCCCAGGCUCGGUCUGCUCUAAUUUCUUCCACUACACGUUUUCCCUCGUAAUACCGAGCAAAUUACCUGUUAUUAUAAGCAAAGUUGUGAAAUUGUUCGCAUUCAUAUUCAGACUUCCUAAACUGAAAUUAAAAACAAAACAUUAUAGUCAGGUUUUGAAUUUUGAUGUUGGCUUAAUUAGCUGAAUUGACACUUGUGAGGCAUUUCUUAGAAUGUGAUGGCCGAUGGGUUUUAGCUGGUUCGGGUUAUGGCGCCUUGGCGGUUCGUGAGCUUGCUAUUAUUCUUGACAAAUUUUGAUGUUGAAAGACUUGGAAACCAUGCUGUCGAUCACGUCGAGAAGCUGAGUAACAGUCUGCUUUUACAAUGGUACCUCUUAAUAAAAGGAACUUAAGCCAUCCAAUCUAGGGCUUCCAUCAAAUCGUGCAGGCUGCAUGGAAGUUGCAUUUACCUUUGCUGUGAACAUCAUGAACACAUACACUAUUUAAAGGUUCAUGUUUACGUAGCAGUGGUGUUGCUGUCCAAUGUGGCGUGUUGUUGCAGCCUAUGGUGGUGAAAGAUAUUUACAUCAAGUUGCUGUUCCUUGUGCAUCCAAGGUGCUGGUUUUGUGCUACAGAAGUGACAUCCAAUAUUGUGUUUAAUUGCUAUUUGUGUCUUUGCAGUUUACCUUUAUAUAUUGAGAAGGAACAAAAAAAAUAGUAAAACGGGGAGGUUUAUGUCAAACAAAUAAUAAACAUGUCCAGCAUGGGGGAAUGAGGAGGAAGUUGGGGUGGGGUAUUUGGUUAUGAUUUACUAAAAGAAGUGAGGUAUAUUUUUAAUGAAUAUGCAGUACUUGGUGAUAAAAUCUGUUGGUAACCUAUACCUUCCUGUCAUCCUAUACCUUCCCCACUUACACAUCCAUUCCUCAAACCCCAUAAGCACCAGCAUCAAAUCCCACAUCCACUUACAUGCAAUCCUAAAACCCCACAAUCUCCAACAUCAAAUUCACACAAUUGUUGUAUAUCUAUAAUCAAAUUUAUAUUGUAAUAAAUAAAACGCCAUUGUAUAUAA